CCUAUGAUGCACAACUCCAUUGGGCACUAUUUACAUUGUAAUGUAUGUAAAUGGCAUUUCCUGAAGCAGCAUUAAGAAGCUACAGAAUAUAUCUUCCAGCAGGACAGGCCUAUAUCUUUUUUUGGUUGACUCCAGCACCUAGCAAGUGUUUGACACACCAAUCAGGUUGGUUCCUGGAAGUAGAACUACUGUAUCAAAGAUCUGGACAUUUUUAAGACCCCAGAAAGGUAAUAUAGUAUAGUACUAUACAGUUUGGUUGGGGCUGUUCCUCCCUCAGAACUUCAUUACAUAAUUUAAAAGUGUUUACUUAAGCUCCUUUGGGCUGCCUCCAUGGUAGCUAUGAAGUCACAGAAUUAGGAAUAGUUUGGGGCCUGAUAACAAAGUCUAUUAGCUUAAUGCGAAUACUGUGUCAAUUUUUUUUAAUCAGU